AACGAACGCUGGCGGCAUGCCUAACACAUGCAAGUCGAACGAGACCUUCGGGUCUAGUGGCGCACGGGUGCGUAACGCGUGGGAACCUGCCCUUAGGUUCGGAAUAACUCCCCGAAAGGGGUGCUAAUACCGGAUAAUGUCUUCGGACCAAAGAUUUAUCGCCUUUGGAUGGGCCCGCGUUGGAUUAGCUAGUUGGUAGGGUAAAAGCCUACCAAGGCGACGAUCCAUAGCUGGUCUGAGAGGAUGAUCAGCCACACUGGGACUGAGACACGGCCCAGACUCCGACGGGAGGCAGCAGUGGGGAAUAUUGGACAAUGGGCGAAAGCCUGAUCCAGCAAUGCCGCGUGAGUGAUGAAGGCCUUAGGGUGGUAAAGCUCUUUUACCCGGGAUGAUAAUGACAGUACCGGGAGAAUAAGCUCCGGCUAACUCCGU
rnacentral:rRNA from 1 species